rnacentral:lncRNA from 1 species
CGGCAUGCCGGGCCGGCGUCUUAUUGCGGCUUCCCGAUUGCCCGCGCGCCAUGGAGUGCCUGCGCUACCUGCCCAGGCUACUGCCCCGCGCCGCGCAGUCCCGGAGCGCUCUGUGUAUGGCGGCGGUGCGCCUGAGCCUCGCUGCCUGCUGUGGCCGCGCGACCCCGCUGACCUCCGGGAGCCAGAAGGCGCCGAGCACACCCCGCACUGCAGGUGAUGUGUACCGGUUUAGAACCUCUGAUGCCUCUCAAGCUACUUUAGCCAGCGUGGCCCAGGUGUUUGCUGUGACAAAGUUUGACAAAGAAGGAAACGUUACCUCUUUUGAGAGGAAGAAAACUGAACUAUACCAUGAGUUAGCACUCCAGGCCAGAGACUUGAGGUUUCAGCACGUAAUGAGCAUCACUACCAGAAACAACAGGAUCAUCAUGAGGAUGGAGUACUUGAAGGCUGUGAUAACUCCAGAGUAUCUUCUGAUACUAGAUUAUCGGAAUUUAAACUUGGAGCACUGGCUGUUCCGGGAACUGCCAUCACAGCUGGCUGGAGAAGGUCAGCUCGUUACGUACCCGUUACCGUUUGAGUUCAGAGCUAUUGAAGCACUCCUGCAGUACUGGGCCAUGUUGUUAUCUAGAUCAACACCCUUCAGGGGAAACUAAGCAUCCUGCAGCCACUGAUCCUGGAGACCCUGGAUGCAUUAGUGGACCCCAAGCACUCUUCUGUUGACAGAAGCAAACUGCAUGUCCUACUCCAAAACGGCAAAAGUCUCUCUGAGUUAGAAACAGACAUUAAAAUCUUCAAAGAGUCAAUUUUGGAGCUCUUGGAUGAGGAGGAGAUGCUGGAAGAACUCUGUUUAACCAAGUGGAGUGACCCGCAUGUCUUUGAGCAGAGCAGCACUGGGAUUGACCACGCAGAGGAGAUGGAGCUGCUGCUGGAAAACUACUACCGACUGGCUGACGACCUCUCCAAUGAGGCUCGGGAGCUUCGGGUCCUGAUUGAUGAUUCACAGAGCAUUAUCUUCAUCAAUCUAGAUAGCCAUCGCAAUGUGAUGAUGAGGUUAAACCUCCAGCUGACCAUGGGUACCUUCUCGCUUUCACUCUUUGGACUGAUGGGAGUUGCUUUUGGCAUGAAUUUGGAAUCUUCCCUUGAAGAGGAUCAUCGUGUGUUUUGGCUGAUUACAGGAAUUAUGUUUAUGGGAAGUGGCCUCAUCUGGAGGAGGUUGCUUUCGUUCCUUGGAAGACAGCUGGAAGCUCCUUUGCCCCCUGUGAUGGCCUCCUUGCCUAAAAAGACCCUUCUGGCAGAUAGAAGGAUGGAUGUGAAAAACAGCCUCAGGCCGGAAGGACUUGGAGCAGGCAGGACUAUCCUGGCAAGCCGAUAGCAGCAGCCUGGCAGACAAGGAUUUUUAUUCUUCUGAAGCUAUUAUCACUUUCUGGGGGAAAACGACAACUGGUGUUUAAAUUAUGAAUGACUAAAAAUACUGUGGCAUUCACAGUACUAAACUUGAUCGCAUCUUCAGAAUUCUUUGAGACAGUGCUUUCUUUGUAAAAGGCCCAAACCCUAUGUCCUACCAACUUUGAAUACUGUUUAUGGGCAUUUUAAAGUAUCGAUUUAUGUACUGUGAGUAGACUUAUCUAGAUCAGUGCCACUAUACAUAUGGAGGAGUGUAGCUUUGUGCUGACUGCUCAGGGACUCAGCAGAGCCCGUGGCCCCGCACAGAGACUCACAGUCCCGUCAGUCUCGCUCAGGGAGGAAGGCUGGUGGAUCACUUAGCCUUUUGACAAAUUCUGCAAUGUCAGUCCUUGGUGGAACUUUACUUCCAGGUAUUUGCUUUCUUUUAUAUAUGAUGAAUAAAAAAGAGGUAUAAUUUAAUGUCAGCAUACUUGGAUUCCAAUUAAGCAAUAUUGUUACUAUUUUUUGAUUAAUUAUAAAUAGAACUAUGGAAAGUUAAGUUUAAAGUGUUUAUUCUCUUACAAUUUUAUAGAUGUUUUGAUCAUUGCCUGAUUUAAGAGAUUGUCAUGCUACCCCCUCCCCAAGAGAAAAUGUAUACAGCCAGCUAAUGUGUUUGCCUUCCUCUCAAAGGUUAACACAUGUGUUUGUCAAACAAGAACAUAGCUAAUGUAAGAAUGGUGGAAACGCUGCCUUCCCAAUCAGAAGCUCUCGUUUAAAAUAAAUGGCAAGGCAGGACAUGGUUGGUCCCCCACCUGUACUUCUAGUCCUUGAGAUGGUGUCCCAGCCAUGAAAGACUCUUUCAUGGCUCUGAGUGAGAUGCUGGAAUGUGACUGUGAAAACUGUGACAGCUGAACCCUUUGACAGCAUCCAGGAUCGUCUCUGAUGAUGCCCAGAUUUCACAUCCCUCUUCAGCACACCCGAGAGCACCCCACUGCUGUGACCGGUCUUACACUGUGAUGUCUUAGGCUUUGCUCAGCUAAGAUCCAUGAAAAAUUGAAGUCCACUUGAUCCCAGGUCGGACAGGGCUGAAUCUCAUUUUUCCUUGUAGUGUUAGUUUAUGAGCUCAAAUAAAGUUUUGAUUAGUCGUGUCCCUCUUAGCAGAGGGACAAAAUGUAAUUACUUCGCCUUAGAUAAAAGGACGGAACUGGCAGUUUGUAAAGUUUUUAAAGGCGGUUAGGUCAGGUAGGGUUUGAGUGAUACUGUUUCUUAAAGGAAAUAUAGAAUAUCAAAUACUGAGUUUUUGUAUAAAGAUAUAUAAAUGCAUAAAGAUGGAAAACCAAUAU